ACGGGUGCGUAACGCGUGGGAACCUGCCCUUAGGUUCGGAAUAACUCAGAGAAAUUUGAGCUAAUACCGGAUAAUGUCUUCGGACCAAAGAUUUAUCGCCUUUGGAUGGGCCCGCGUAGGAUUAGCUUGUUGGUGGGGUAAUGGCCUACCAAGGCGACGAUCCUUAGCUGGUCUGAGAGGAUGAUCAGCCACACUGGGACUGAGACACGGCCCAGACUCCUACGGGAGGCAGCAGUGGGGAAUAUUGGACAAUGGGCGAAAGCCUGAUCCAGCAAUGCCGCGUGAGUGAUGAAGGCCUUAGGGUUGUAAAGCUCUUUUACCAGGGAUGAUAAUGACAGUACCUGGAGAAUAAGCUCCGGCUAACUCCGUGCCAGCAGCCGCGGUAAUACGGAGGGAGCUAGCGUUGUUCGGAAUUACUGGGCGUAAAGCGCACGUAGGCGGCGAUUCAAGUCAGAGGUGAAAGCCCGGGGCUCAACCCCGGAACUGCCUUUGAAACUAGAUCGCUAGAAUCCUGGAGAGGUUAGUGGAAUUCCGAGUGUAGAGGUGAAAUUCGUAGA
rnacentral:rRNA from 1 species